GGAUCCCGCCUUGCAUCAACUGAA
rnacentral:siRNA from 1 species